rnacentral:rRNA from 1 species
UACGAAGGGGGCAAGCGUUGUUCGGAAUGACUGGGCGUAAAGGGCGCGUAGGCGGUUCGUUGCGUCAGAUGUGGAAGCCCCGGGCUCAACCUGGGAACUGCAUUUGAUACGGGCGGGCUUGAAUCCAAGAGAGGGUGGUGGAAUUCCCAGUGUAGAGGUGAAAUUCGUAGAUAUUGGGAAGAACACCAGUGGCGAAGGCGGCCACCUGGCUUGGUAUUGACGCUGAGGCGCGAAAGCGUGGGGAGCAAACAGG